rnacentral:rRNA from 1 species
UACGGAGGGAGCUAGCGUUGUUCGGAAUUACUGGGCGUAAAGCGCGCGUAGGCGGCUUUGUAAGUUAGAGGUGAAAGCCCGGGGCUCAACCCCGGAAUUGCCUUUAAGACUGCAUCGCUUGAAUCCGGGAGAGGUGAGUGGAAUUCCGAGUGUAGAGGUGAAAUUCGUAGAUAUUCGGGAGAACACCAGUGGCGAAGGCGGCUCACUGGACCGGCAUUGACGCUGAGGUGCGAAAGCGUGGGGAGCAAACAGG